AUGGAUGUGAUGAUUAUUUCCCCAGAUGAUCGAAUCUGAAAUAACUGAGCGCUCAUAUUCAAUUUUUCUCUUUCUGGAGAAAAAUCCAAGCCAGAAAUCUGAUCCAU